GUCAGGUUGGUCGGGCGGUCUAAGUCGCCAGACUCGAGUUCUGGUCCACGCUGUGGGCGUGGGUUCGAAUCCCACUCUUUACA